UACGGAGGGUGCGAGCGUUGUCCGGAAUUACUGGGCGUAAAGGGCGCGUAGGCGGCCUUCUAAGUCAGACGUGAAAUCCCCGGGCUCAACCCGGGAACUGCGUCUGAUACUGGAAGGCUUGAAUCCGGGAGAGGGAUGUGGAAUUCCAGGUGUAGCGGUGAAAUGCGUAGAUAUCUGGAGGAACACCGGUGGCGAAGGCGGCAUCCUGGACCGGUAUUGACGCUGAGGCGCGAAAGCCAGGGGAGCAAGCGGG
rnacentral:rRNA from 1 species